GUUCCCUCCGACUCCCACCAUCUGAAAAGCGUUUGCAGUAACUCUCAACACAGAACAUGGAGAAUCACGGAAUGAAGUAUUCCCACUGAGUGUUCUUGCGAAUGAGAUUAGCCUGAUACAUUUUUGUUGUUGUGUUUACCUUUUAUUUUGUACUAACAUGAAAAUUAAUUUUCUUGCUUUGUUCAUAGUUAUGAUUAAAAUCAUGCCACUUUUUAAUUUGCUUUCUAUUUGGAGAAUGAUUUUCAUUUAGUUUUUGUGUGUUUGUUUGUCCUGGAGUUUUUAAUUGUUAUUCUUGUUUCUUGUUAGCAAAAGAAUAACUAUACUUUCCAGUUGCUCCAUCUUCUCAUCUUCUUGGUCAGAGAAUCCUCAAGUGGCGUACCUUCCCCUCUUCUUCUUUACCUGAGACGCUCCCUCUCAGCGCCUGUGUCCUUCAGACCCAAAGCUGCUGGCACCUUGAUCUCUGACUUUUAGCCUGUUGUUUAAGCCUCCCGGUCUAUGGUACUUUGUUAUGGCAGCCCUAGCAAACUAAUACAGAACUAUUACAAGUGGUGCUGCUAGGAGCAUUUUUGUAUAUGUCUUUUGGUGACCAUUUGUAUAGAUUUCUGCUAGAAAUACACAAUUCUCAGGAGUGAAGUUGUUAUGUCAAAGAGUAUGCAUAUUAUCAGCAUAAGUAGACACCAGAAACGUUUCCAAAGUUUUUCUGUAUUAAUUUAUGCUUCCCUGAGUCCUUCUAGACAAGUACUUAGCCUAAAGCCUCCCCACACCUACAGCCUAUACUUCUGUCCCUCUGUGCUUUCUAACUUCUUCCUACCCUGGUUCUUCAUCACUGGGUGCUCUGAUAAGCCCCUCUGUGCCAUCUUACAAUCAGACUUGUCCUGGUUUUCUAUGUUUGGACUUUUUUCCAUGCUUCUUUUUUUCGCUGAUUGCCUUACUCCUGGGAUAACUUUUUUCUUUCAUCAAAGCUUACCUAUCCUGACUUCAGCUAGGUGACAGUGAGUAACUAUAAUCAGAUAAAUUAUUUGGUACAAAUGAGAUAGACUUCUAAAGUAUUUAUGGCCUUAUACAUGGGUUAUAAUUACAUCCCGUUAAAGUUUAGAAAUACUGGGCAGUCUUUGGAGCUUUCCCAUAUGAGACAUUUUCAUGAGUCUUAAAGUCAUGACGAGUAGGGCAGCUGACUGUUCUGGGAAUGAGGUCACUUUUGGGCAUGGAAUGAGAAUUCAUAGACUUUCACUUCUCCCAGCUCUGAAUGUCUUCUUCACCUCUACAAACACAUUCAUCUUCAUGCUUCAUUUUACCAGGUUUCAUGCCAACAUUUAUUCAGAUGUCCAAGAGGCUUAAGACAGAGUGUGAUGCUAUUAACACCACCAAAAGAAAAAAUCCAAGCUGCAGAAGGGUAAUGUUACUCAUAUCCCUUACAAAUCCAGACAAUUACAAUCCCAAAUAUGUGAGUCAAUUCCUGGGAUAAAGGAAAGUCUGUAAGGGAAGAGACAGUUUUCAGAAAAGCCUUUUACCUCUGGGAGCAGUACUUGAUGGAUGACUCAAAACAAAACUACAGAAUAAGAAUCAAGAGUGUACAAAUCUCAGAUAACACAGCAGAGAGAGCUAGUUAAUGCGUGGGGCGAGGAAUGCGGAACUGAGCUGGUGCAGGCCCCGCAUGCAGGCACAUGGCAAUGGGCUUCACAUUUCCACCCUCUUAGACUCCCACAAAGCCAUGCACCAGUACCCUCCCUUUCCUAACGAGGAAACCAAAGUUUAGAAGAGUUAAGUCACCUGUUCCAGAUCACACAUCCCUAACCUGUGAUGCUGGGACAUGAACCUAGGCUUGUCUUGCUCUAAAAUCCCUGCCCCUUUCACUCUAAACAUCCACUGAUAUGCAAAAGGAUUUGAGGAAAGAGACACUGAAAUAAACAUGGUGCGGUUAGAAAGAAAUAAAUGUAAAAUCAUUUACUUUGGUUUAAAAAUAUGUGAUUGUACAACUGCAGGACAGGGACAUUUUGGAGCAGCUCGCAUUCUUAAUAUAAGCCCUCAAUAUGUCACAGCCGCCGAUUAAAAACUAGUAUUGUCAUCUCAGCCAAUUGGAGCAGUAUAUUCAUAAAACCAUACUCUCUCCUAAGGAGGAUAACAUAAUGGUUUAACAUGGAAGAUCUGUCACAAACCUUGCUUCCAACACAUAUGAGCCAUGUGACUUUGGGGCAAGUACUUCUCCUUGGUGAUACCCAGCUUACUAAUCUAAAGAAUGGGGAUAAUCAUAGCUCCUAAUUCAGCGUUGAUGUGAGGACCAAAGAGCUCAAUGUGUAGCACAAUGUGUGGCAUGUAUGGCUAAAUUUUUUAGCUAAACAUUUGCUGGUGUUAUUAUCCCCUCUGGAGUUCUGUGCCUAGUUUCAAAGUCUGCAGGUUAAGAGUUAAGAAUGCCUCUGCGUUGCCUGGAGGAGAAGGAAAGCAGAGUUUGCCACCUGGUUCUCAUCUCAGUGACUCUGAAGAGCAGAUAAAGCCUGCCAAGUUAAAGGCCAGGAGAAAAGAAAGAUCUUUUUCUUUUUUAUUUCUUCCAUCAUUUAACAUUUGUGUUUGAGUACCAUCUACAUGCCAGGCAUGUUUUAGGCACUGUGAAUAAAAUGGUGAAGGCCUUGGUACCUGAAGUGAAGGGACUUCCAUCCCAGUGGAGGAAACAAGCAGAGAACGGCCAAAUAAAGAAAAUGAAUAGAAUGAUUGCAAAUGGAAGUGUUAUGAAGGAGCAAACCACAGGCUGAGAUAGAGAUGGUAAAGGGGUGGAUUGCAUUAGGCAGAGUAACCACAGAGUACUAUUGAAGAGGUUGCAAUUAAUCAGAGAUGUGAAGGCUAAAACAUGGGCAGAAAGCAUGCUCGGCAGAAGUAACAGCAUGGACAGAAGCUCCAGUGGGAGAAAGCUUGGGCUGAUCAGGAAGCUGAGAGAAGAACGGACACGUGCUUGAGACCAGGGAGCAGUUUCAAAUGGGGUUGAGAAGAUCUGACAAUGUCCGUGGCAUGGCCAGGAGUUUGGAUUUUAUUUUUAGGGCAAUGGAAAGUCAUUGAAAGGCUUUAAGUGGAGGCCAACGUAAGCUGGUGACAAACCUCACAUGGAGCCUGGUACUGCAGGAGGAUGUAGUAGAACCUUGAUAAUUUACUCUAGAGAGGACAGGGACCUGGACAGGGGACAAUGGCAGUGGAAAUGGGGAGGAUGGAUGGAUCUGAGACAAGUCUUGGAAAGAAAAUUCACAGGAAGUAUCAGACUGUCCAACUAUGACUAGGAUCCUCCCUGAAUGUUCUAUUCAAACGAUGGAUAAUCAUUUGAUAACUGGUGAAAAGGUACAGCCAGAAAGAUUAUUAGAAUUUAUCUGGUGUCAAUCAGUCUAGGAUUAUUGAAUAUCUGAAAUUCUUUAUCAAUUGCUCACUUUGGAUAGAUAUAAAAAUUAUUUCAUGUUAAUGACAUUAGACUCAUAUAUUAAAUUAUCAUAUAGGAAUGUUUUUGGGCUGAGCACAGUGGCUCAUGCCUGUAAUCCCAGGACUUUAGGAGGCCGAAACAGGCAGAUUGCUUGAGCCCAGUAGUUCAAGACCAGCCUGGGCAACAUAGCGAAAUCCUAUCUCUACAAAAAAUACAAAAAUUAGCCAGGCAUGAUGGCAUAUACCUGUAGUCUCAGCUACUCAGUAGGCUGAGGUGGGAGGGUCACUUGAGCCCGGAAGGUUGAGGUUGCAGUGAGUUGUGAUCACACCACUGGAUUCCAGCCUGUGUACCCGGUUUCAAAAAAAAAAAAAACUUAAUUUUUUUGUUUUUAAAUAGAAAUACUUUUGGAUUAAUUAAUCAGGACCAAUCUAAUAUGGCAUCUCGCAGAUCUGCGGGAAAAAAGACUGGAGGGAAAAGUUCAGUCUGUAGAUUUUUAUUCAAGUAGAGCUGCCCUUCAUGGCAGAAGGCUCUGGACCUUCAGGGAGUUAUGAGCACCUGAGAAGGGGAUGCAGAAAAGGGGAAAUGUGCUGUGCAGGAACCUCACGACAAGGUCUGGCCCUGGGUUUUCCCUCAUGUGACAUCCAUGAAAAGUCACUUCUCUAACUCUUGGGUCAGAACUAGAAGAGGUUCUUAGACCAGUGGUUUUGCCGAUUAGAAGCUCUUGAAGAACUUCCAAAACAAAAACAAAACUAUACCCAGGUAGAACUCAAGGAAGGGGAAGGGGGGAUAAACUGUGUAUUUUUAGUAUUUUUAAAGAGUUCCCCAAGUGAUUGUAAUGCUCUCGAGGUUGAGAAACAUUUUUUAUCAACCCCUUUCUACAGCAGUUUCUCUCCCCUCUUCACCAUUUCAAAACAAUAACUUAAGUGUCACCUUGACAAGAAUAGGCUUUGUGUCAGGAAACUUUUUUAGACUUAAAAGAAAAAAAAUUCUCAAAC
rnacentral:lncRNA from 1 species